rnacentral:rRNA from 1 species
AUUGAACGCUGGCGGCAGGCCUAACACAUGCAAGUCGAACGAGUGGCGGACGGGUGAGUAAUGUCUGGGAAACUGCCUGAUGGAGGGGGAUAACUACUGGAAACGGUAGCUAAUACCGCAUACCAUCGGAUGUGCCCAGAUGGGAUUAGCUAGUAGGUGGGGUAACGGCUCACCUAGGCGACGAGCCCUAGCUGGUCUGAGAGGAUGACCAGCGACACUGGAACUGAGACACUGUCCAGACUCCAACGGGAGGCAGCAGUGGGGAAUAUUACACAAUGGGCGCAAACCAGAUGCAGCCAUGCCGCGUGUAUGAAGAAGGCCUUCGGGUUGUAAAGUACUUUCAGCGGGGAGGCGUUACCCGGAGAAGAAGCACCGGCUAAUUCCGUGCCAGCAGCCGCGGUAAUUC